rnacentral:rRNA from 1 species
GAUCAUGGCUCAGAGUGAACGCUGGCGGCGUGCCUAAUACAUGCAAGUCGAACGGACGAGUAAGAGCUUGCUCUUAUGAGUUAGUGGCGCACGGGUGAGUAAUGUAUAGCUAAUCUGCCCUACACUAGAGGACAACAGUUGGAAACGACUGCUAAUACUCUAUACACCUCUCUAGCAUAAGUUAGAUAGGGAAAGUUUUUCGGUGUAGGAUGAGGCUAUAUUGUAUCAG